rnacentral:rRNA from 1 species
UACGGAGGAUCCAAGCGUUAUCCGGAAUCAUUGGGGUUAAAGGGUCCGUAGGCGGUCUAGUAAGUCAGUGGUGAAAGCCCAUCGCUCAACGGUGGAACGGCCAUUGAUACUGCUAGACUUGAAUUAUUAGGAAGUAACUAGAAUAUGUAGUGUAGCGGUGAAAUGCUUAGAGAUUACAUGGAAUACCAAUUGCGAAGGCAGGUUACUACUAAUGGAUUGACGCUGAUGGACGAAAGCGUGGGUAGCGAUCCGG